rnacentral:rRNA from 1 species
UACGUAGGGUGCGAGCGUUAAUCGGAAUUACUGGGCGUAAAGUGUGCGCAGGCGGCCGCGCAAGUCGAGUGUGAAAGCCCCGAGCUUAACUUGGGAAUUGCGCUCGAAACUUCGUGGCUGGAGUGUGGCAGAGGAAGGUGGAAUUCCAGGUGUAGCGGUGAAAUGCGUAGAGAUCUGGAGGAACACCGAUGGCGAAGGCAGCCUUCUGGGCCAACACUGACGCUCAUGCACGAAAGCGUGGGGAGCAAACAGG